AGUUUACCAUCAACAUUAAAACCUUUCGUAACUCAGCUAAGAAAAUAAAUAAGUUUUGAAAACUUAGAAAUUUUUCCUUUUUUCGUGUAGCCCGAUUAAUCUCUUACCAAAUCACCAUGUGCAGUUGGCCUUGCUAUCCCGCUGCCUGUAUUGGUUCCUGCGGUGGAUGCGCGCCGAGUGGUUUCUAUGAUCCCAGCUAUGGGUCAAUGGCUGGGCCCGUUUGCGGCCUGGGUGGCUCUUGUUGUGGCUGCUGGGGUGGCUGCUGGUGAUUACAUGUUGUUCUCAUGCUUUCCAUGUUUGUCCUGAAAGAACCGAGAUAUACAUGGCAUGGUUGAGGCGGCUAUGCAGAUUUGGCUUACAGAAGAAAACCAGGAAGAAUUCUAGGCUCAUUGACUUUCAAAAUUUAUAUACCUACCAGCGUGCGGUAAUCUCACGCUUCAACAGCUUUGAUCAGUAUAUAAGGUUUAUGUUUACAUAGACAAAAAGAAAAUAAAAACCAUACUUUGACUCAUAAACUUCUUGAUUUGACUUUGUAUAUUCUUAUGCUACAUAUUUCUCAAUAAAGUGAGAUCAAUUCUACUUAAAAUUUUAAAUAAUCUCUUUCUAUUUGCGAUAACUAUCGAAAGCUAACUGCUGUGGAAGACAAUCGAUUCCGAUUUAUGAUUUCUAUACUAGAUAACCAAAAACUUAGUAAGCCUUUAAAAUACAAUACCAAAGCAGGCUUUGAAAUUGAUUUUGGAAGAGUUCUCAAUGGCUGUGUAAUAUUUUGUUCAUUAAUCUUUGGAGCCUCGUACAGAAAAGAACUCUUUUCAAAAACGAAAUUUUUGUGAAUGUUUUAGGCCUGUUCCAGUCUCUCCUGUAAUUAAACAUUGUGCCAUUGGGUCCGUCGGCAUUUUGGAGACUUGGAGGCUGAAAAUAAUCACAAUAUUUCUAAAAUCGUUUUGCCCACUAAGUAGACCUUAUUUCCGUGAAGAAGUUGACUUAAGGG